GACGAACGCUGGCGGCGUGCUUAACACAUGCAAGUCGAACGGAAAGGCCCUGCUUUUGUGGGGUGCUCGAGUGGCGAACGGGUGAGUAACACGUGAGUAACCUGCCCUUGACUUUGGGAUAACUUCAGGAAACUGGGGCUAAUACCGGAUAGGAGCUCCUGCUGCAUGGUGGGGGUUGGAAAGUUUCGGCGGUUGGGGAUGGACUCGCGGCUUAUCAGCUUGUUGGUGGGGUAGUGGCUUACCAAGGCUUUGACGGGUAGCCGGCCUGAGAGGGUGACCGGCGUCAUGGGGACUGAGCGAGGCCGCAGACGCCGAGGGGUGGCAGGGGGGGGGAGUAUGGCAGAGGGGGGGGAGGCGUGUGGCGACAGCCCCGCGGGCGGGAUGCCGGCUUUGGGGUGAAAAACCGAUUUGGCUGGGGCCGAGGGGGGAGUGACGGUAGGGGAUAAAAAAGCCCCGGCUAACUACGUG
rnacentral:rRNA from 1 species